rnacentral:rRNA from 1 species
UACGUAGGGUGCGAGCGUUAAUCGGAAUUACUGGGCGUAAAGCGUGCGCAGGCGGUUCGUUAAGUCAGCUGUGAAAGCCCCGGGCUCAACCUGGGAAUGGCGGUUGAAACUGGCGAACUUGAAUCUGGCAGAGGGGGGUGGAAUUCCACGUGUAGCAGUGAAAUGCGUAGAGAUGUGGAGGAACACCGAUGGCGAGGGCAGCCCCCUGGGCUGAGAUUGACGCUCAGGCACGAAAGCGUGGGGAGCAAACAGG